GACGAACGCUGGCGGCGUGCUUAACACAUGCAAGUCGAACGGAAAGGCCCUGCUGUUGUUGGUUGCUCGAGUGGCGAACGGGUGAGUAACACGUGAGUAACCUUCCCUUUACGUUGGAAUAACUGCAGGAAACGGUGGUUAAGACCAGAUAUGAUCUCCUGCUGCAUGGGGGUGGUUGGAAAGUGUCGGGGGUUGGGGAUGGACGGGCGGCUUAUCAGCUGGUUGGGGGGGUAGUGGCUUACAAAGGCUUUGACGGGUAGCCGGCCUGGGGGGGUGACCGGCAAAAUUGGGCCGGAGAUCAGGCCAAGCCUCCUCCGGGAGGAAGAAGUGGGAAAUAUUGACAAAUGGGCGGAGGCCUGAUGAAGAACGGCGGCGUGCGGAAUGACGGCCUUCGGGUUGUAACCCGCUUUAGCAUGUGACGAAGCGUGAGUGACGGUAAUGGGUAAAGAAGCACCGGCUAACUACGUG
rnacentral:rRNA from 1 species